rnacentral:misc_RNA from 1 species
CAAUGAAAACGACGCCGUUGAAGAAGAAGAAGAGGUGGAAGAGGAGGAAGAAGAAGACGAGAGUGACGAACAGGGAACUAAAAUAAAAAGGUCAAAUAAGGCUGAAAAAGAAGGCAAGAAAAGAGGAGGUGGCUUUACGAAGCUAUGUUCCCUAUCUCCACAACUUCAAAAGUUUCUUGGGGUGUCUGAAUUAGCUAGAACUGAGGUUGUGAAAAAACUUUGGGCCUAUAUCAGGGAGAACAACUUGCAGGAUCCAAAGAAUAAGCGAAAUAUAAAAUGUGAUGAAGCAUUGCAUGAUCUUUUUCGUGUAAAUUCGAUUAAUAUGUUUCAAAUGAAUAAAGCCCUGUCCAAGCAUAUUUGGCCAUUGACUGCAGAAGCUGAACAUGAAAAGCUGAAGGAAAAAGGUGAAGAUGGUAGUGAUUCUGUGUCAGAAGGUGAUGAUCCAGGCGAAGAACAGGAAGAUGAAGAGGAAGAGGAAUAUGUAGAGAAAGAGGGUACUGAACAAAGCAAGAAAGGAGGGUCUUAUAAGGUGGAUAAAGAUGUUAAGAAAAGAGGAGGUGGCUUUACUAAAUUGUGCAGCCUUUCUCCACAACUUCAAGAGUUCACUGGCGUGCCUGAAUUGGCCAGAACAGAGGUUGUGAAGAAGCUUUGGGCUUAUAUUCGGGAGAAAGAUUUACAAGAUCCAAAGAACAAGCGGAAUAUAAUAUGUGAUGAAUCAUUGCGUGCUCUCUUUCGUGUUGAUUCUAUCAAUAUGUUUCAAAUGAAUAAAGCAUUGUCCAAGCACAUAUGGCCAUUAAAUGAGGAAGAUGCUCCAGACAACUCUAUACAAAAGGAAAGACAGUGCAAGCACGGAAGAGAAGAAGGUUCAAAAGAGCCAAAGCAGAAGGAAAAACGGCAGAAGAAGGGAGCUUCUGGUCUUCUUGUUCCCCUUCCUCUUUCAGAUGCACUUGUAAAAUUUUUUGGCACUGGCGAAAAUACAUUAUCUCGGGCUGAUGUCGUAAAGAGAAUGUGGGAAUACAUAAAACAAAAUGAUCUGCAGGAUCCAUCUGAUAAGAGGAGAAUCAUUUGCGAUGAAAAGUUGAAAGAACUAUUUGAGGUUGACUCGUUCAAUGGCUUCUCAGUUUCAAAGCUCCUGACUGCUCAUUUCAUCAAGAUGGAACAGUGAGUUGCUUAUUUGUACAUAAGCAAGCCCUUUGGAGGCAGCAAUUUUGUUUUUGUCUACAAUAUGUUGCGGCA